rnacentral:tRNA from 1 species
GGAGGGAUGGCAGAGCGGACGAAUGCACCGGUCUUGAAAACCGGAGAGGGGCAACCCUCCGGGGGUUCGAAUCCCCCUCCCUCCG